GGUCUGCCGGCCGUCGCGACGCUCGGGGUCGCUCCGCCGCGCCGCCUGCCGGACUGCUUUUCGCGUAUCAUGUGGGAAACGUGAAAUGCACUGCUGUGCUUGCCUGCGACGCUGAGCGUUCGACUUUUACCCAAUACACCGGCUCUACCACGUUCGUAGGACUCCGUGUCCGGUCACGCUCUCCCGAUUCUUUCUGUCGCGUUUCGCUUCAACUUUAUUGUGCAGUGUGCCGCUGGGACAUUGUUUUAUAUUUUAAGAGCUCAUUAAUUUUAUAUUUUCAAAGUAUAUAAAUUUUGUGACAAUAACACCACACACAUUGCCUGUUUGUGAAUAACCGUUUACCGUAACGUAACCGUGCUAUCGGUUCACUAAUGGGUUAAGUUUGUUUAGGUUUAUAGAGGUAUUAUGAAUUAUUUCACACAACGCGAUCAACGUUACGAUAUAUAAGAUAACAAUAUAAUCUGAUAAUGAUGUGAUGUAUCAAGUAAAAAAUUACAAGUAUGGGUUAAAUUGACAUAAAAAAUAGACCGGUUUUAUGACUGUGUCUUUAAUUUAUGUAUUUAAGUGAUAACUUUAAUAUAAAUUUACAUUUGACGUUUAUUAUUACCUUUCAAACAUUUCCAACAACCUAACUCGCAUAUCAGUAAAAUUAUCUUCGCUAACUUUCAAGACUGAUAAAGAUUUUUUGAGAAUUUACGCUUUACCACGUGCCAAAACUAGAACUUACCUUACGCGAUUUCCGAUCAGAUCGGACAUGUUGGUGAAAUGAAAUACGAAUGGUGAUUUUAAAAGUGUGUGCUGGUGUUUGCGUGAGUGAGUGUAGUGCGGUGGGCGGCGCGUGCGCCUUGGCUCGUCGGGCGCGCACGGCACCAAGGUGGUCGGAGGGGGGGUGUUCCGUUGCUGCGUGCCCUGGUGCGGGGCGCGCGCGGCGGCGCCCGACGACGCCGACUAUGCCCUGAGAGAGGGCAGCCCGCAGCUGUCUCACCAAGAAUUCGUCGUUCCGGAGACGGUAAUAAGUUCUCCACGUCCACUCGGCCAGCAAUCUCCUUUGCCCGGUAUCGAAGAGGAGGACGACUCCGACUGGCCUCUCGAGGACGCCGCAGAUUCCACUCUUACUCCCUCUUACAAAAGCACAAAGAGUAGUACUGAUACUGUUUAUACUUCGUCAAGAAGCUCUGGAAAGAAGCGUAGUUUUGGAAGUCCUUCAUCCGUAAAGAUAUGUGUAUCAGCAGCAGCAAGGAAGUCUAACAAAGCACGUAAGCGUGGCUCCAGCACUGCUAGCGCGUCGCCUGCCGGGCAAGUCGGAGACGACGCGCCCGCGACCACUCACGGCAAGAUGCAGGCUGAACAGGGUAGCAUCGGUGAGCUUCAGAAGUAUCACGGGAGAUACCUCAAAAGUCGUCGUCACACUCUAGCAAAUGUUCGGUAAGUGAUGACGGUGUAUUUGCCGAGAGAGACGAAAAUAUUCUGCGUAAGUAAAUAUAGUUAACAAAUAUGGAUAUGGUAGUAUAGGAAUUAAAAUACUAAGAUAAACUAUCAUCUUAAUUCUUACUUGAUGUUAUAAAACUUACUGAUAAUAUUUAUUUUACGUGAGUAAAUGUUCAUUUAUUCUUCCUCUCACCAUUUUUACUGACCAUUGCAGCCAUUUCUGCACAACUCGUUUCAAGAAAUAUUUUACAAUUAUUUUAAAUUCAUAACAAAGUACAUUGUAAAAUUUCAUAUUAAUAUAAUUUUGAAUAAAAGGCAAUUUAUUAUUUAACACAGUAUUCAUAAAGCUGUCUCGUCUAAUUCGAAUAUUUUAUAUUGUAUUUCGAAUAUUUUGUUGAGCACAUAAAGAAAAAAUGUUGAUAAUCGGAACAGUCACCGAAGUCACCGAAUAUAGAGUUACCAUUUUGAAGAGUCGCUUCUCAAAUUACUCGCUUUAA
rnacentral:misc_RNA from 1 species